GCCUACGGCCAUACCACCAUAAACACGCCCUAUCUUGUCUGAUCUUAGAAGCUAAGCUGUCCAGCCCAGUUAGUACUUGGAUGGUAUAUUUACUUACUUUUUAAUGAGAGCAAGAGAAAAGGAGAGCUUCUUAGUCU
rnacentral:rRNA from 1 species